rnacentral:tRNA from 1 species
GCACCUGUGGCGGAAUUGGCAGACGCGCACGGUUCAGGUCCGUGUGCCAGUAAUGGCUUAGGAGUUCAAAUCUCCUCAGGUGCACCA